GAUUGAAGCCAGGAUAGGGUGUUUAGCUAUUAACUAAAAGUUCAUAGGUUUAAUUCCUAUCAAUC
rnacentral:tRNA from 1 species